CCUACGGGCGGCAGCAGUGGGGAAUAUUGGGCAAUGGGCGCAAGCCUGACCCAGCAACGCCGCGUGAAGGAAGAAGGCUUUCGGGUUGUAAACUUCUUUUGACAGGGAAGAGUAGAAGACGGUACCUGUCGAAUAAGCCACGGCUAACUACGUGCCAGCAGCCGCGGUAAUACGUAGGUGGCAGGCGUUGUCCGGAUUUACUGGGUGUAAAGGGAGUGUAGGCGGGUUGACAAGUCAGUUGUGAAAGCCUGCGGCUUAACCGCAGAACUGCAUUUGAAACUGUUGAUCUUGAGUACUGGAGAGGCAGACGGAAUUCCUAGUGUAGCGGUGAAAUGCGUAGAUAUUAGGAGGAACACCAGUGGCGAAGGCAGUCUGCUGGACAGCAACUGACGGUGAGGCGCGAAAGCGUGGGGAGCAAACAGGAUUAGAUACCCGAGUAGUC
rnacentral:rRNA from 1 species